rnacentral:rRNA from 1 species
AGCGUACGCAGGCGGUCUGUUAAGUCAGAUGUGAAAUCCCCGGGCUUAACCCUGGGAACUGCAUUUGAAACUGGCAGGCUAGAGUCUCGUAGAGGGGGGUAGAAUUCCAGGUGUAGCGGUGAAAUGCGUAGAGAUCUGGAGGAAUACCGGUGGCGAAGGCGGCCCCCUGGACGAAGACUGACGCUCAGGUACGAAAGCGUGGGGAGCAAACAGGAUUAGAUACCCUGGUAGUCCACGCUGUAAACGAUGUCGAUUUGAAGGUUGUGGCCUUGAGCCGUGGCUUUCGGAGCUAACGCGUUAAAUCGACCGCCUGGGGAGUACGGCCGCAAGGUUAAAACUCAAAUGAAUUGACGGGGGCCCGCACAAGCGGUGGAGCAUGUGGUUUAAUUCGAUGCAACGCGAAGAACCUUACCUACUCUUGACAUCCAGAGAACUUAGCAGAGAUGCUUUGGUGCCUUCGGGAACUCUGAGACAGGUGCUGCAUGGCUGUCGUCAGCUCGUGUUGUGAAAUGUUGGGUUAAGUCCCGCAACGAGCGCAACCCUUAUCCUUUGUUGCCAGCGAUUUGGUCGGGAACUCAAAGGAGACUGCCGGUGAUAAACCGGAGGAAGGUGGGGAUGACGUCAAGUCAUCAUGGCCCUUACGAGUAGGGCUACACACGUGCUACAAUGGCGCAUACAAAGAGAAGCGAUCUCGCGAGAGUCAGCGGACCUCAUAAAGUGCGUCGUAGUCCGGAUUGGAGUCUGCAACUCGACUCCAUGAAGUCGGAAUCGCUAGUAAUCGUGGAUCAGAAUGCCACGGUGAAUACGUUCCCGGGCCUUGUACACACCGCCCGUCACACACAUGGGAGUGGGUUGCAAAAGAAGUAGGUAGCUUAACCUUCGGGAGGGCGCUACCACU